UUUAACAUUAAUAGAAAAUUAUUCGUUCUUAUGAUUCAGAUUUAAACAAAAAAUGUAUAAUAUAUAAUACAAUGAUGAGUAUACUAGUAAGAUGUUACGUAACAAUAAUUUCCUUGUUUAUCAUACGUCAGAUAUUGCGUAUAAAGAUUUCCUUGUGCUUAGCAAAGAAACUGGUCAAUUCUUGUAAGAGAACAGUAUGGAAAAGUACAGAACGGAUGCUACUACCAAUGAUAGUAGUGAAUAGCUAUUAGAAGAAUUCUAUAAUGCCAGUUGGAGCGGUAGACCAUCAAAGGAUGAAGCCCUCUUUUUUUAUCCUUUACUACUGUCAAUGUAAUAUAUGUAACAGGAAACAAUGGAAAGUACCCAUCAUUGGUACGAUUUUAUUACGAAUAAAUUUGUCUUUGUCUCUCUUGAUUUAUUAAGAACAAAGACAUUGUCCUUGUUCACAUUAGUAAGAGACGGAAGAAGGGGGGAUUAGACAGAAAGAGGGAGAAUGGAUAAUUUGG